GAUGAACGCUAGCGGCAGGCUUAACACAUGCAAGUCGAGGGGCAGCAUAAUGGAUAGCAAUAUCUAUGGUGGCGACCGGCGCACGGGUGCGUAACGCGUAUGCAACCUACCUUUAACAGGGGGAUAACACUGAGAAAUUGGUACUAAUACCCCAUAAUAUCAUAGAAGGCAUCUUUUAUGUUUGAAAAUUCCGAUGGUUAGAGAUGGGCAUGCGUUGUAUUAGCUAGUUGGUGGGGUAACGGCUCACCAAGGCGACGAUACAUAGGGGGACUGAGAGGUUAACCCCCCACACUGGUACUGAGACACGGACCAGACUCCUACGGGAGGCAGCAGUGAGGAAUAUUGGUCAAUGGACGCAAGUCUGAACCAGCCAUGCCGCGUGCAGGAUGACGGCUCUAUGAGUUGUAAACUGCUUUUGUACGAGGGUAAACGCAGAUACGUGUAUCUGUCUGAAAGUAUCGUACGAAUAAGGAUCGGCUAACUCCGUG
rnacentral:rRNA from 1 species